GAUGAACGCUGGCGGCGUGCCUAAUACAUGCAAGUCGAGCGAACGGACGAGAAGCUUGCUUCUCUGAUGUUAGCGGCGGACGGGUGAGUAACACGUGGAUAACCUACCUAUAAGACUGGGAUAACUUCGGGAAACCGGAGCUAAUACCGGACGAUAUUUUGAACCGCAUGGUUCAAAAGUGAAAGACGGUCUUGCUGUCACUUAUAGAUGGAUCCGCGCUGCAUUAUCUAGUUGGUAAGGUAACGGCUUACCAAGGCAACGAUGCAUAGCCGACCUGAGAGGGUGAUCGGCAACACUGGAACUGAGACACGGUCCAGACUCCUACGGGAGGCAGCAGUAGGGAAUCUUCCGCAAUGGGCGAAAGCCUGACGGAGCAACGCCGCGUGAGUGAUGAAGGUCUUCGGAUCGUAAAACUCUGUUAUUAGGGAAGAACAUAUGUGUAAGUAACUGUGCACAUCUUGACGGUACCUAAUCAGAAAGCCACGGCUAACUACGUG
rnacentral:rRNA from 1 species